CGGCAGCGGGGGCUUCGGCCUGCCGGCGAGUGGCGAACGGGUGAGUAAUGCAUCGGAACGUGCCCAGUCAUGGGGGAUAACUACGCGAAAGCGUAGCUAAUACCGCAUACGCCCUGAGGGGGAAAGUGGGGGAUCUUCGGACCUCACGUGAUUGGAGCGGCCGAUGUCAGAUUAGCUAGUUGGUGAGGUAAAGGCUCACCAAGGCGACGAUCUGUAGCGGGUCUGAGAGGAUGAUCCGCCACACUGGGACUGAGACACGGCCCAGACUCCUACGGGAGGCAGCAGUGGGGAAUUUUGGACAAUGGGCGCAAGCCUGAUCCAGCCAUGCCGCGUGAGUGAAGAAGGCCUUCGGGUUGUAAAGCUCUUUCGCAAGGGAAGAAAACGUGUGGGCUAAUAUCCUGCGCGGAUGACGGUACCUUGACAAGAAGCACCGGCUAACUACGUGCCAGCAGCCGCGGUAAUACGUAGGGUGCGAGCGUUAAUCGGAAUUACUGGGCGUAAAGCGUG
rnacentral:rRNA from 1 species